rnacentral:rRNA from 1 species
UAGCAAUUAUACGGCGAAACUGCGAACGGCUCAUUAAAUCAGUUAUUCAGUCUACUUGAUAAUACUUUACUACUUGGAUAACCGUGGUAAUUCUAGAGCUAAUACAUGCUGAAAACCCCGACUUUACAGAAGGGGUGUAUUUAUAGAUUAAAAACCAAAGUCCUUUCGGACUCUCUGGUGAUUCAUAAUAACUUCUCGAAUCGCACGGCCUUGUGCCGGCGAUGGUUCAUUCGAAUUUCUGCCCUAUCAACUUUCGACGGCUGGGUAUUGGCCAGCCGUGGUGACAACGGGUAACGGAGGGUUAGGGCUCGACCCCGGAGAAGGAGCCUGAGAAACGGCUACUACAUCCAAGGAAGGCAGCAGGCGCGCAAAUUACCCAAUUCCGACACGGAGAGGUAGUGACGAUAAAUACUGAUGCGAGACUCUUUUGGGUCCCGCAAUUGGAAUGAGAACAAUUUAAAUCCCUUAUCGAGGAACAAUUGGAGGGCAAGUCUGGUGCCAGCAGCCGCGGUAAUUCCAGCUCCAAUAGCGUAUAUUAAAGUUGUUGCGGUUAAAAAGCUCGUAGUUGAACCUUGGGCCCGGCCGUCUGGUCCGCCUCACCGCGAGCACUGGUUCGGUUGGGUCUUUUCCUCUGGGAAACCGCAUGCUCUUCACUGGGCGUGUCGGGGCACCAGAACGUUUACUUUGAAAAAAUUAGAGUGAUCAAAGCAGGCCUACGCUCGAAUACAUUAGCAUGGAAUAAUAAAAUAGGACGUGUGGUUCUAUUUUGUUGGUUUCUAGGACCGCCGUAAUGAUUAAAAGGGACAGUCGGGGGCAUCAGUAUUCAAUUGUCAGAGGUGAAAUUCUUGGAUUUAUUGAAGACUAACUACUGCGAAAGCAUUUGCCAAGGAUGUUUUCAUUAAUCAGGAACGAAAGUCAGGGGAUCGAAGACGAUCAGAUACCGUCGUAGUCUUGACCAUAAACUAUGCGAACUAGGGAUCGGACGAUGUUAUUUUUUGACUCGUUCGGCACCUUACACGAAAGUA